rnacentral:rRNA from 1 species
AACAUUGCCUCUUGAAAACAUAAGAGGUACAUCCUGCCCAGUGACAUAAUCUAUGUUCAACGGCCGCGGUAUCCUGACCGUGCUAAGGUAGCGUAAUCAUUUGCCUCUUAAUUGGUGGCCUGUAUGAACGGACAAACGAGAGCUAAACUGUCUCCUACUUACAACUAAAACCUAACCUUCAGGUGAAAAGGCCUGAAUAGUUUUAUAGGACGAGAAGACCCUAUCAAGCUUAACUAAAACCCCACACCAAAAAAUAUUAAUAUAAUCUUCUAUGUGGCUUCUUAGUUUAGUUGGGGCGACUGGGGACCAAAACUAACGUCCCCCCUUAACCUAAGGAUAAUAAUCCAAUAAAACUGACCCGUAUUUAACGACCAAGAGAAAAGCUACUGUAGGGAUAACAGGCUAAUCUUCCUCAAGAGCCCAAAUCGAAAGGAAGGCUUGGCACCUCGAUGUUGGCUUAAGACACCCCUAAAGUGCAGCAGCUUUAAAAGGUAGGUU